AAUGAACGCUGGCGGCGCGCCUAAUACAUGCAAGUCGAGCGAGAAGACGUAGCAAUACGUUUGUAAAGCGGCGAACGGGUGAGGAAUACAUGGGUAACCUACCCUCGAGUGGGGAAUAACUAGCCGAAAGGUUAGCUAAUACCGCGUACGCUCCUUGGACUUCGGUUCAGGGAGGAAAGCGAUACCGUGGGUAUCGCGCUCUUGGAUGGGCUCAUGUCCUAUCAGCUUGUUGGNGAGGUAACGGCUCACCAAGGCUUCGACGGGUAGCUGGUCUGAGAGGACGAUCAGCCACACUGGCACUGCGACACGGGCCAGACUCCUACGGGAGGCAGCAGUAAGGAAUAUUGCGCAAUGGGCGAAAGCCUGACGCAGCGACGCCGCGUGGGG
rnacentral:rRNA from 1 species